rnacentral:rRNA from 1 species
UACAGAGGGGGCAAGCGUUGUUCGGAAUUACUGGGCGUAAAGGGCGCGUAGGCGGCCUGCUAAGUCGAACGUGAAAUCCCUGGGCUCAACCCAGGAACUGCGUCCGAUACUGGCAGGCUUGAAUCCGGGAGAGGGAUGCGGAAUUCCAGGUGUAGCGGUGAAAUGCGUAGAUAUCUGGAGGAACACCGGUGGCGAAGGCGGCAUCCUGGACCGGCAUUGACGCUGAGGCGCGAAAGCCAGGGGAGCAAACGGG